AUGGUCCAAACUCAAACCCUACGUGCGGAAGCAUGGAAGGCAAUAAAAGAAGAGAAGCGUCCGGUGGUGUACACACUUGAUGAGCCGGAGAAGGAUGACCGUAACAACUUGUCUCUCUCCCAAGGUAACCUCACCAAUGACAAGGCUCGGGUUGACCUGAUGCAAAAUCGUGGCAAGAGACUUGAGGCAGCACUAACCAAGCAGCUUGAUGAGAAGCUCUUGAAACAGGAACCCCUCAACAACCGUCUGAUUGUUGAUGCUAUAGGAGUGAUUACCUCGUCGUGGAAGGAGCACCAUGCGAAGCCAUGCCCCAAAGAUCUGGUGAAACUAAUGUCCGACGUAGGGGAUUUGGUGGGAUUGUUUGAGCGGCAACUCAGGAAGGCCAAAGAAGCAAGAACUGUCGCUGUAGCAUAUCCUCAAUUAGUGAAGCGCAACAAGGAGAUGAUUGUCAACCACCCUGUCACCAUUGACUCUUUGUCCCAGAAGGUGACCGAUUUGGAGAACAGGCGUGACAAUGCGAAGAUCAACAUUGAAGCCGCAAAAAUGCAAAAGGAGGCUGAAGCGUCCGCACCACCGUCCGUACGCCCAAAGAGCUUUGAAGAGACGAUCUUGCCAAUCCCUUCGAUGCUGGCUAACAACUUUCUUUAGUAUCUUGCCA
rnacentral:lncRNA from 1 species